UUCCCCACAAGACCGCGCGCUUCAAGUUAGAACAAUAUGGCGGCCAAGCGGUAGUCUGUGUGCCAACAAAAUGAAUAGAAACCCUGCUAAAUCAGUGCAGCGUGCAAAAGCAAGGCUAGCUACUCUCAGUAAAGCUAUUGCUCAGUGUAAGGCAGAGGCAAGUGCCUAUGCAAGAUGUGCAUCUCAAAAUGACAGUGUGCUGAAGAAUGGUUGUGAGAGGGAGUUCUUGGCUUUUAAAGCAUGCACACAGAAAGCUGCAAAAAGUUUGAAGAAAUAAACACCUCAAGAUCCUGCCAAAUUGCUGAUGAGCUUUCUGAUGUCAAGACAAGCCUAGAGGAGAAAAAUUAUAACUUUUUUUAGGGGGGUAGUGAGGGAAGGAGGGGGAUUUUUGUCAAGUUUGGCCAUCAAGUUCUUUUGGGAUUGAGCUAAAGGAAGUGCCAUACUGCUUGUUUUAUUAUGCCCCAUCCACAAGCAGGCCUGUAGCAAGGAUUUUAAGCGGGGGGUUGAAACAGGGGUUCGUUAACCCAUUUAGCUAAGGUAGCUUUCCCAAGCUCGCAGUGGUACUUAAUUUACCUUUAACCUCCCCUGACUACAAGACUGACAGGACUACACUAUUUAAUGUUGGUGUGAUUAAUAGCAGAACUCCUUCUGUAUGCAAGGUCAAGGAGCGAAGUGAGGGCUGUAUUCUAACUUAAGAAUAUGCCUUUUUAUAAUGUCAAAUGCUUUAAUUAUGUCUGAUUCCAUAGAAAUGAUACAUGACAGUGGUUAUUUUAGGGCAAUCUCUGUCUUGAUCACUGUAUUUUCUGCAUUGUCUUCAAAGUAAACAGAUAGAAAAUA